GAUGAAAGAUGAGAGAGGGAGAUGAACGUAUAGCUGUCGGCCACGAAGCAGGCUGUCACUUCUCUCUCAUGAAAACAUUGGGAAUUGCUCUUUGCUUCUCUCUCUAAAGCCCUUAAAUCUCGGGGGAGUUAUGUAAGAACAUCUACUAGGCUUCUGCAUUUUCACCUGCCCAAAUUACUUUCCAUUUCGCUUCAAGAUAUUUAUGAUAAAAAAAUCUAAUGCCUAUAUGUAUACUCUACGACUACGUGAUUAUUAAUUUACCAAAAGAGAAGUCACGAGAUAGUGUAUAGAUAAAGAAAAAGAGAGAGAGAGAAGAGUAUUUAUAGUUUUCUAUAUACUUUUCUUUGCAAAAAAACUUGUUAUAGUUAGUAACUAGUUAGAUCAUGUAAUAUUUUGUUCUUUGCUUAUUUCAUGAAUAUAUUUAUCUAAGGUAUUUCAUUAGUUCACACAACAAAAUUUUGAUAUUACAAAUCACUAAUGACAUCCCCGAUCCGAGAAGUUUGUCCUAAUAAGCUAGAUAAUAAAAUUCAACGAAACUGGUCCUAUUAAUCUAUUGCCUAUUGGGUUCAUUGAAAAGGACAAAAUUGGUUAUCACGUCUAUAUGUUGACAAAUUUAUUCAAAUAUAUACAUACGUACAUGUACCUCUAUCUGUAUGUGAAUGUGGUGUGAAGAUAAGGAAGAGCAGGUAAAUGAUUCAGAGGUAUGGGGGUUUGCUUGAAGUCGGAGAUAUCUUUUAAAUAAUUUGUUAAGCUCUUCGUGCUUCCCUAAAAAGCACCCACAGAUUUUAGGUGUACUUCCCAAAUACUUGUGACUUUAUUUUUGUUUAUCAGUAUAGUUAAUUACUUUUAUACGACUACAUAAAAAAGUUAACAAAAAAACGACUACAUAAAAACAAUAUUUUCAAUCAAAAACGUAUUGUGUAAUAAAAAUAUUGUUUUAUGUAGUCGUAUAUAAUACAAAAAUAUUAUACAAUUAUUAGUGUGUAUAGUACAUGAACUUAUACAGAACCACCAAAUCAAACAAAUAAAAUAGAUCUU
rnacentral:lncRNA from 1 species